rnacentral:rRNA from 3 species
UUGCCCUAGUAACGGCGAGUGAAGCGGCAACAGCUCAAAUUUGAAAUCUGGCUCUUUUAGAGUCCGAGUUGUAAUUUGCAGAGGGCGCUUUGGCUUUGGCAGCGGUCCAAGUUCCUUGGAACAGGACGUCACAGAGGGUGAGAAUCCCGUACGUGGUCGCUAGCUAUUGCCGUGUAAAGCCCCUUCGACGAGUCGAGUUGUUUGGGAAUGCAGCUCUAAAUGGGAGGUAAAUUUCUUCUAAAGCUAAAUAUUGGCCAGAGACCGAUAGCGCACAAGUAGAGUGAUCGAAAGAUGAAAAGCACUUUGGAAAGAGAGUCAAACAGCACGUGAAAUUGUUGAAAGGGAAGCGCUUGCAGCCAGACUUGCUUGCAGUUGCUCAUCCGGGCUUUUGCCCGGUGCACUCUUCUGCAGGCAGGCCAGCAUCAGUUUGGGCGGUGGGAUAAAGGUCUCUGUCACGUUCCUUCCUUCGGGUUGGCCAUAUAGGGGAGACGUCAUACCACCAGCCUGGACUGAGGUCCGCGCAUCUGCUAGGAUGCUGGCG